rnacentral:rRNA from 1 species
UGUCUUGUAAAUGGAAUGAUGGUGACUUAAACCCUCACCAGAGUACCAAUUGGAGGGCAAGUCUGGUGCCAGCAGCCGCGGUAAUUCCAGCUCCAAUAGCGUAUAUUAAACUUGUUGCAGUUAAAAAGCUCGUAGUUGAAUUUCAGCGUUUCGCGUGUGCCUCUUUUGGCCCAUCUCGUCUCGCUUUUUUUAUUACUUUGAGAAAAUUAGAGUGUUUCAAGCAGGCUUUUGUCUUGAAUACUUGAGCAUGGAAUAAUAGAGUAGGACCUUGGUUCUAUUUUGUUGGUUUUGUUACCUUGGUAAUGGUUAAUAGGAACGGUUGGGGGCAUUCGUAUUUAACUGUCAGAGGUGAAAUUCUUAGAUUUGUUAAAGACGAACUACUGCGAAAGCAUUUGCCAAGGACGUUUCCAUUAAUCAA